GUCCAGACUCCUACGGGAGGCAGCAGUGAGGAAUAUUGGUCAAUGGGAGGAAUCCUGAACCAGCCAUGCCGCGUGCAGGACGACGGCUCUACGAGUUGUAAACUGCUUUUGUACCGGGGUAAAAUGCCUUACGAGUAGGGUUUUGAAAGUACGGUACGAAUAAGGAUCGGCUAACUACGUGCCAGCAGCCGCGGUCAUACGUAGGAUCCGAGCAUUAUCCGGAGUGACUGGGUGUAAAGAGUUGCGUAGGUGGCAUAGUAAGUAGCUAGUGAAAUCUGGUGGCUCAACCAUUCAGACUAUUAGCUAAACUGCUAAGCUCGAGACCGUUAGGGGUAACUGGAAUUUCUAGUGUAGGAGUGAAAUCCGUAGAUAUUAGAAGGAACACCGAUAGCGUAGGCAGGUUACUGGGACGGUUCUGACACUAAGGCACGAAAGCGUAGGGAGCAAACGGGAUUAGAUACCCGCGUA
rnacentral:rRNA from 1 species